CCCAGGCCUGCCUCGAAUUUAUGGUGAUCGUCCUGCCUCAGCCUCCUGCGCGCUGGAUUAUAGUCCUGUGCCCUCAAACCCAGCUGGCCCCAGCACUUCUGAAGGAGGCGGGGGUCCCGGGCGCUGUGGGCUGGAUCAGUGUGGGCAGGAAUGAAGGUCCCAGGGACAGCUGCUCCCCGGUCGGGAGGGCCCUUCCACGCAGGCGGCCCAGCGCAGCGGUGCCUGGAGCUGGAAGCAGCCUGCUGGGGCCCAGCCCCGCCAAGACCCCUGGGGCCUCAGGGCUGUUUGUCACGGACCGCGUCCCAGUCCCCAAGCCCGGAGGUCCCUUCCAGUCUGCCGGUGGCGUCCUCUGAAGCACAAUGGAUGCCAGUUGUUUGUGAUCAGAAGCCGAGCAAGAUGGAAAUAAAGAUUUUACUACUUACAGACCUGGAGGCCACAGAGGCUGGCGCCUGGUGUCCUGGGCUGGGUGUGGGUGUGGCACAGCCCUGAGACUGCGGCAGGUCCCCAGGGAGGGUGCAGUGGCACUGUGGGAUCCCAGCUUUGAGGGUGAGCUGUGAGACUGCCCAUCUUGAGGACCAACAGUGAGGGACAGAGGCCGGGGCCUCAGCAAGUCUUCGAGCACUGGGGCCGCUGGGACGAGUUUGUUUCUGCAGGCUGGGUUCUGGUGGCCUCAGGGAAGGUGCUGGGUGCGAACGGCCCCCACCUCACCCCGGGGAGACCAAGGCCAGCUGCAGCUGGGACCGAGGUAGGGAUCGAUCCCUUGUACCCUACAUCCACGAGGGAGCCUCCUCACACCCUGCCUGAGCUUGCUGGGAGCUGGCCCGCCAGUCACUGGGGCUGCCUGCCUGGUCACCACAGACCUUUGGCCUCAGCAGUUGGCCCGGGCCUGAGUGGCCACAUCCCGAGGGUUAGAUUUUCUGGCAGCAGUGGGCACCAUGUGCUCCACCUGCUUAGACUCAUCAGGCAGUGGCAGGGGAGGGGCCAGCAUGCGUGUGUGGGACCCCAGGGCUGUGCAGGAGCCCAGGGCCAUGUGGAGGAGGGAGGGUACCAAGGCAGGGCCUGUCCCUGGCGAUGCCGAGGCGGGGGAGCCCCUGGGCCCAUGAGGGCUUGGAUCUGUAACCACAAACUACUUUCCUCCUCCUCGUCUACUUCCUUCUUUUUUCAGUACCCAAGGGCUUCACACUGAAUUAUAUCCCAUUCUUUUUGU